rnacentral:rRNA from 1 species
UGGGGAAUAUUGCACAAUGGGCGCAAGCCUGAUGCAGCAACGCCGCGUGCGGGAUGACGGCCUUCGGGUUGUAAACCGCUUUCAUCCAUGACGAAGCGCAAGUGACGGUAGUGGGAGAAGAAGCACCGGCUAACUACGUGCCAGCAGCCGCGGUGAUACGUAGGGUGCGAGCGUUGUCCGGAAUUAUUGGGCGUAAAGAGCUUGUAGGCGGUUGAUCACGUCGGAAGUGAAAUUCCAGGGCUUAACUCUGGGCUUGCUUUCGAUACGGGUUGACUUGAGGAAUGUAGGGGAGAAUGGAACUCUCGGUGGAGCGGUGGAAUGCGCAGAUAUCGGGAAGAACACCAGUGGCGAAGGCGGUUCUCUGGACAUUUCCUGACGCUGAGAAGCGAAAGCGUGGGGAGCAAACAGGCUUAGAUACCCUGGUAGUCCACGCCGUAAACGGUGGGUACUAGGUGUGGGUCC